GGAGGGGGAGCGUAAGGAGUGGGAAUGAUGCGUCUCACUUCUCAGAAGCACAGUGCUGCGCUCAGCAGACGCUCAUCUUGAUAAAUUUCAGCAAGCGCAAAGGCACGGCGACAGGUGAUUUUCCCUUCCUGAGCUUGGUACCAGCUGAUCACUUCCUGUUUUUCUAAGAGCUUCCCAGACAGAGGCGAUUUGCUCUUUCAAAUUUGGUCAUUGCCCUCUGGCUUUCCCGUGUGAGUCAGCCUCGCUGCCCUAGUGCCCUCGGCUCCCUCCCGAGUCAGUGUCUGCAGGCGGCCUCCCCAGGUCUCACUAAGGGUAACUACCCUGUAUCCAGUGGCGGGAGUCCCAGCAGCCUCGCUCCCCGUCUGCCUGCUGGAAGGGAGCCUUGAGGUUGAUCUACUUUACACUAUGGAAGAGGAAAGGCCAGUCACUAAACCUGUAUAAGGAUCGGCUAUAAAACAAGGACAGUGCCCCGCUCAAAAUGGCUGAGAUUAUUUACUAUAUCUCCCCAAGAAAUGUGAAUUACUCACUUUUUAAAGAAGGAUUGCUUCUUGGAUAAACUUCUCCAUCUCAAUCAAAGAUUAUCCUUUCUGGAGGAUUACACCGGCCUCCUGUCAAUGGUUGCUCAACAGUUAGUUGCAGCUUUGGUGCUCUUGCAGGAGAAGAACAAGCUUGAGAAACUGCAUUCAAGAGCCCACCCUGAGUCCCACUCUACACCUACACACUCCUCUGGUCCUGCUUGGUGUUGCCCAGAAAGGCUGGGAAACUCAGCAUGCAGAUGGACAAGCAUGGGUACUCAUCCCAUACUUCCUUGAAAUAUAAAAUAAUGAUUCUGUCCCAUAUCUUCCCAAAGAGAGAAUACGAUGAGACUGCACGACUUCACAGCCUGCUUAAUGCCUGGUAGAAUGUUUUGCUUUCAGGCGACUGUUGGUCAGAUUUCUAGAGUGUCUAGAUGAUUGAAGGGGUUCAAGCACUGUGUCCUGGAAAGGGCAGGGAACAGAACAGAGAUUCAGAGAGACUGGGGACCACCUGGACUUCUAAGUUAUUGAGAGUCUGGCUCUAACUCGCACUAUUGAAAACAGAGGAGAAUGAUGAGUUAUGCCAUCAUAAAGUUUGCAAGACCAACACACAUGACAAAAGUUAGGAUAAUUUAUAAUAUGAUAGAAAC
ensembl:lncRNA